AUUGAACGCUGGCGGCAUGCCUUACACAUGCAAGUCGAACGGUAACAGGUCUUCGGAUGCUGACGAGUGGCGAACGGGUGAGUAAUACAUCGGAACGUGCCUAGUAGUGGGGGAUAACUACUCGAAAGAGUGGCUAAUACCGCAUGAGAUCUACGGAUGAAAGCAGGGGAUCGCAAGACCUUGUGCUACUAGAGCGGCUGAUGGCAGAUUAGGUAGUUGGUGGGAUAAAAGCUUACCAAGCCGACGAUCUGUAGCUGGUCUGAGAGGACGAUCAGCCACACUGGGACUGAGACACGGCCCAGACUCCUACGGGAGGCAGCAGUGGGGAAUUUUGGACAAUGGGCGCAAGCCUGAUCCAGCAAUGCCGCGUGCAGGAUGAAGGCCUUCGGGUUGUAAACUGCUUUUGUACGGAAUGAAAAGCCCUGGGUUAAUACCCUGGGGUCAUGACGGUACCGUAAGAAUAAGCACCGGCUAACUACGUGCCAGCCGCCGCCGUAAAAC
rnacentral:rRNA from 1 species